UGGGAAAAUGGUUAAUAUUCCAUUACUUCUGUGUAAUGCGAUGAGAGGACGGAGAAGGCUAAAUCAGCCUGGCGUUGGUUGUCCAGGUGAAAGGAUGUAGGCAUGUAUCUUAGGCAAAUCCGGGGUACUCUAUGCUGAGAUCUGAUAGCAAGCUGUACUUGUACAGCGAAGUGGUUGAUGCCAUGCUUCCAGGAAAAGUCUCUAAGCUUCAGUUACACAGGAAUCGUACCCGAAACCGACACAGGUGGUCAGGUCGAGUAGACCAAGGCGCUUGAGAGAACUCUGCUGAAGGAACUAGGCAAAAUGGUGCCGUAACUUCGGGAGAAGGCACGCUGUUGUUGGUGAUGGAACUCGCUUCCUGAGCUGACGACAGCCGCAGAAACCAGGCCGCUGCAACUGUUUAUUAAAAACACAGCACUCUGCAAACACGAAAGUGGACGUAUAGGGUGUGAUGCCUGCCCGGUGCUGGAAGGUUAAUUGAUGGGGUUAGCGUAAGCGAAGCUCUUGAUCGAAGCCCCAGUAAACGGC
rnacentral:rRNA from 1 species